rnacentral:lncRNA from 1 species
AAUGAGGAAGAGAGAGAGCUUUAAUCAGAGAAAGAAAGCAAUUGAAGGCCACACAGCUAUAAUCAGAGAAAGAGAGAAGAUGACAGAGGCAAAAAAGAGGCAGGAGAUGGCAGAAGAGGAAAGAAGGAAGAUUGAGAAUUACAAGAGGGGUGAGUUAGAGAAGCCUGAAGAGGAGGAGAAGAACCCUGAAGAGAAGGAGGACGACAAGGAGGACCUCUCCCCAGCCAAUAAAAGUAUCAGAAGGAAAGCACUGGGUGAAUAGGAAGUGGGAGAAGAGGAACCUCAAAAAGACAGAGAAUGUAUCAGAGAGAGGAGGAGGGCUAUGAGAUCAUCAACAUAGUUAUCAUGUGGGACACCAAUGUCGCCACCAAUUUGUGGAGCUUCUGACUGGACUGGAGAAUCAGUAACAUUAGAG